UACGUAGGGAGCAAGCGUUGUUCGGAUUUACUGGGCGUAAAGGGCGCGUAGGCGGCAAAUUAAGUCAGCUGUGAAAUCUCCGAGCUUAACUCGGAACGGUCAGCUGAUACUGAUCUGCUAGAGUGCGGAAGGGGCAAUCGGAAUUCUUGGUGUAGCAGUGAAAUGCGUAGAUAUCGAGAGGAACACCAGUGGCGAAGGCGAGUCCCUGGACACUUCCUGACACUGAGGCACGAAAGCUAGGGGAGCAAACAGG
rnacentral:rRNA from 1 species